rnacentral:rRNA from 1 species
UACGGAGGGAGCUAGCGUUGUUCGGAAUUACUGGGCGUAAAGCGCACGUAGGCGGCUUUGUAAGUUAGAGGUGAAAGCCCGGGGCUCAACCCCGGAAUUGCCUUUAAGACUGCAUCGCUUGAAUCCAGGAGAGGUGAGUGGAAUUCCGAGUGUAGAGGUGAAAUUCGUAGAUAUUCGGAAGAACACCAGUGGCGAAGGGCGGCU